AACCCUCCACCAUGUGCAGAUACAGCAAGAAAGCAGCAUCUGCAAGAAAGCCCUCACCAGGACCAAAUCAGCUGACACCUCAACCUUGGACUACCCAGCUUCCCGAACUGUGAGGUAUAGAUUUUUAUUGUUUAAGUCACCAAGGCUACGGUGUUUUUAAUAGCAGCCCAAGCCCAGGAAUACAUCAUCUGACUCACUAUUUUGAAUCAAACUCUUCAGUUUCUCCAUCAACUUAGCUGGCAGCUCCUGUCCCCAGCAGCAUCAGAGGCCCCAUGAAAAGAGCUCCAGCAGGGGCUCAGCCUGCAUGGGUCCCAUGCGGCAGCCUCAGUGUCAGAGCCUGGAUGGCAGUGCUCAGUCGCAGACAUCACUGCCUGCAGGGCAUGCACAGUGCAGCCCAUUGCACACAAACUACAAACUCACAGAAGGUGAUGACAAUUUGUGUUUGGGACGUCUGAUUGUGAAAGAGGGAGGACAGCGUACUUGCAGCCACAGAGACUGAAACUGGAACGUGAUGGAACGGGGCUGGAACGUGAUGGAGCUCUGACAUAACAGACGUGUGACUUUGUGUGAAAUGUGCAGAUCCAUGUGGAAUAAAACACAGCCUAGCCUGUGGCUGCUGCCGUCCACAUUUCCCUCAUCUUCCAACAGAAGUCAGCAGGGUCCCUCCCAGCCUGGAACCUCCCUAGAGACUGCUGACCUCCCUUGGCAGGGCCCACAGGCCAGCAGGGUCCGCCCUCACCAGGGUCACUUGGCCCAUGUCCUCCUUGCUCCUCCAAGCUCCCCACCCAAGUCUGUCAGCU
rnacentral:lncRNA from 10 species